UAGAGCCUCUAGCUCAAUUCUCUAUCGCUGACGUGGCAAUAUAAUUCCACAUAAGCUAUAUUUUAUAUAUACAUUAUUUAAUUAAGUUAUUUUAUUUAUUUAAAUUAUACAUGCAUCACAUAUAAAAUAGCAAAACGAAAUUUGUAUCCACCUCUCAAAAAAAAUUGUAUCCACCGCUUUCCUCCCACCCCCGGCGAUUCGCCCCAAGCUCAGCCCCGAUCUGCCACCUCGCCGCUCCCCUUUCCCCUUCACCGCCGUCCGCCCCGUCACCAAGUCUCUGCCAGAGAUCUGCUCAGUAACGAAAUCUGCUCUGAUCACUGCUGCAAUAUGUCUCGGUGAUAACAUCGCCACUCCCGUUUCCCUUCCACCGCCAUCCGCCACCGCCGUCUCCGUCUGCCCUGUCACCAAGUCGCCGCCAGCGAUCUGUGCCUCUCCAUGGUUGAAAUCAAUAAGGAAUGGUGAAGGGGUUAGGCUAAAUCUUACCUUUCGAGCAGCUGAAACCAUGGUAUGGCUUUGGCUGAAAAUGGUGAUCAACUAGGUGAUUGAUAGUAUUCUGUACAUAGCUGAUAGAGUAGGUGAUUGAUAGUAAGCGUAGGGAAAGUUGUGAGGUGACUAAUGGUGAAUAAAAUCCUUCCGUUGCUACCUGGUACUGGAUUUCUAAGAUAAUUUCUGGUCUUUCUGAUAUUGUUUGCUCUUUUCUAGGAAUUAAAUCUAUAAUUACAACUUGUGCUACAAGUUGUAAUUAAAUAAUGACUUUUAAAAUAAAAGAGGAAAAGAACUUGCUGAAUGUUGUAUCUGAUAUUAUUCAUGGUGUGUUAUUGGUCAAAUUGAGUUAGCAUGUAAAUCCAGUGUCUAAUGUUUGCUUUUCCACAGUCUCCUAAUUAAAUUUUGCUCUUAAUUAAAUGAUUCACGUCGAAAUUCGCCGUGUUUGGUCAAAUUUUAGAAACCAAUGGAAUUAUGUGGUUCAAUGACUAAUAUUUUGGACUGUAAGUGUCAUUUAAUUCUAUGCGCACGUGGUUUUCUCUUUAAUUUCACCUUUGAAAUACAUGCUUAAGCUGCUUCAGAUUUUGGUUUGUAUUUGCUAAAGGAGUACGGUGCAACUCAGCUUGAGCUAUGCGGUUCCUUUUUCUCUAAAGUAAGUCUACUUUUUCUUUUAAGGUCUCAAUGCAUUAUUUGUCUUCAUAAAACAGUGGUGCUACGUUACGUUAUCUUUUUUGAUGAUUUAGUUGAAUUUUGUUUUUAUUUUUUUUAUUGCUUAUACUUUUGAUGUGUUAUAAUCAUUAGGAAAUUGAGUAGAAAUGCAAUUAGUUUUAUAUUGAUAAUCAACGGAAGUCGGCUGACUACUUAAUUACAGCCUUAGUUGGCGAGAAAUUGUUUCCUCUUGCCUUUUAUUACCUGCAGAAGCUUCUCCAGCUGCAUCUCAACCUUCUCUGGGGCCCCGAUCGCGUCCGCAAAGCUUGCCAUCUCUUCGGUGUGUGCACUGUCCUCUUGGUUGGUUGUUGUUUUUGCUAAUGUAAUGUGGCUCGAGUUUUAUAUGUUGUUUGUGCUUUGUUAUUAGCUGCAAACUUUUGAUUUUUUGUUGUUGUUUUAGUUUUUCCGAUGUGACCAGUCGUUAGUUGCGUUUUUUAAUUCAUUUUAAUGUGUGUUGUGGUGUUA